AGUGCAAUUCUUUUCAAAUUUGUUGUACUUUCUUGUAACUAAGAUAUUAAGAGGUAUAUAAAAUUUUCAACAAGAUCAACGGUUUAAUCUUAAGAUAUUGAAGUUCUAAACUACCUUAAGAUUUGAUUUAGGAUUUAGGAUUUGAUUAGGAUUUGAUUAGGAUUUGAUUAGGAUUUAGUUAAGAUUUGAUUUAGGAGUAGAAUUUAAUUAGAAUUUGAUUUAGGAUUUAGGAUUUUAUUAGGGUUUGAUUUAAGAUUUAGGAUUUGAUUAGGAUUUUAUUUAAGAUUUAAAAUUUGGUUAGGAUUUGAUUUAGGAUUUAAGAUUUCAUUAAGAUUUGGCUUAGGAUUUAAGAUUUGUUUAAGAUUUGAUUUAUGAUUUAGGAUUUGGUUUAAGAUUUAAAGUUUAGAAUUUAGGAUUUGAUUAGAAUUUAAUUAGGAUUUGAAAUUUAUUUAGGAUUUUGUUAGGAUUUAAUUUAAAAUUUAGGAUUUUAUUAGGAUUUGAUUAGGGUUUGAUUUAAGAUUUCGGAUUUGAUUAGGAUUUGAUUUAGGAUCUAGAAUUUGGUUAAGAUUUGAUUAGGAUUUGAUUUAAGAUUUAGGAUUUAGGAUUUAGGAUUUGGUUAUGGUUUGGUUUAGAGUUUAAGAUUUGUCUAGGAUUUGAUUUAAGAUUUAGGAUUUAGUUAGGAUUUGGCUUAAGAUUUGAUUGAAUUCCAUUAGACCUUUAAUUAGGAUUAAAUUAGGAUUUUAUUGAAAUUUAUUUAAGAUAUAUUUGUGAUUAUUCUAAGAUUUUUUUACGAUUUCUUAAGGAUUCUUCUAAGGUUUAUUGUGGAUUUUUUGAACUCCUUUAAGAAUUCUUAUUGUUUCAUUUAUAAUUUCUUUAAGGUUCUUUUGAAUUUGAUUAAAGCUUGCUUAGUAUUGUUAUGGUUUAAUUAGAGUUAAUUUAAUAUUCUAUUAGAGUUAUGAUUUUAUUAUUAUAAUUUCUAUUCUAUCUUUUACAGCUAGGUACCUAGUGCAUUCUCAAGCAAGACUUCUUGUAUUACGACAAUGUAUCAUACAAAUUAAUAGCUUGUGGUAUAAGCUUAAAAUGUGAUGCACUUAUAAGAAA
rnacentral:lncRNA from 1 species